rnacentral:lncRNA from 1 species
GGGGGGGGGCACAUAAAUUCUUAAUUGAUAAGAGGUGUCGCUGGGGUUCUGUUACCGCACCCUUUUUAUAUAAUAUAGAUCUUGGGAAUGUAAUACUAUACCUUUUUUCUUUUGGUGGGGUUCGUGUUGUUUAUCUUUAGUUUUCUGUAUUGUGUCAUGUGUGCUGUUGUUUGUUUGUCUUUUUUUUUCUUUUUUAGCCAUGGCGUUGUCAGUUUGUUUUAGAUUUAUGAGUUUGACUGUCCCUUUGGUAUCUUUCGUCCCUCUUUUUUUAAAAUAUAUUGCGUUAAUGUAAAAUUGUAACCUUUUCUCAUAUUGGUUGGGUUUCGUGCUGUGUUUUGGAAAAGUGGAAUAUUUAAAGCUAAGAUUCUGUGCAUGUGUAAUGUUUAUUUACGGCGAGACUUUUUGCUGUUAAAAAAUGACGGGGCUUUUCACAUACAAGUAAAUGGAACUUUAUCGACCGUAUCA